rnacentral:rRNA from 1 species
AGAGUUUGAUCCUGGCUCAGAUUGAACGCUGGCGGCAGGCCUAACACAUGCAAGUCGAGCGGUAGAGAGAAGCUUGCUUCUCUUGAGAGCGGCGGACGGGUGAGUAAUGCCUAGGAAUCUGCCUGGUAGUGGGGGAUAACGUUCGGAAACGGACGCUAAUACCGCAUACGUCCUACGGGAGAAAGCAGGGGACCUUCGGGCCUGCGCCUAUCCNAUAACCUAGGUCGGAUUAGCUAGUGGUGAGGUAAUGGCUCACCAAGGCGACGAUCCGUAACUGGUCUGAGAGGAUGAUCAGUCACACUGGAACUGAGACACGGUCCAGACUCCUACGGGAGGCAGCAGUGGGGAAUAUUGGACAAUGGGCGAAAGCCUGAUCCAGCCAUGCCGCGUGUGUGAAGAAGGUCUUCGGAU